AAAUUAUAAAUUACAAACAUUUCAAGUAAUGUAAUGAUGAAAUAAUUAAUUGAUCAGUUAUAAAGUAGUUCCUCACUAUUUACUUUGCUAUGAUAACAGACAAUAUUCAAGACUACAUAUUUUUCCUUACAAUUUGUGUAUUAAUAUUUAAUAAUUAAGUAAAAUAAUUAAGUUACUGAAUCAUUGCAGAAUGGUUUAUAGACAUACAGAGUGUAACAGGAUUAUUACCACACGAAAUGCAUUUUGUUCAAUUCAUUAUUUUUUUUCCUAAUGAUUUGUAUUACUCUGCGUCCCAAUUAAAAUAUUAUGUUCUUUUAGGUGGGCGGGGAAUUUUAAAUCCAAUUUAUGGCGAUGAAACUUAUUUAGGUAUGGUCAUUUAUUGUUUUCUUAGACUUUUUGAAGUUUUUUGAAAAUGUGAAUAUUGUUGUGACUUGUAUAUUCUAUUAUAAUAUUUAAUCAGUAACUAGAGCAACAUCAUAAUUAAUCAUAUUUUGUUUGACACAAUUUUAUUUUAUAUUUCAUAGUAACGAUAAAAUGUAUUUAAGUUGAUUUGCAUUAUUCUUAUUCUUGUGGUAAAAUUGAUUGAACAGUAUUGUUUUAAAAUGUAACAGGUUACUUGAAAAUCGUAAUAUUGUCAAAAA